CCUACGGGUGGCAGCAGUGGGGAAUAUUGCACAAUGGGGGAAACCCUGAUGCAGCGACGCCGCGUGAGUGAAGAAGCGCCUCGGCGCGUAAAGCUCUGUCAGCAGGGACGAUAAUGACGGUACCUGAAGAAGAAGCCCCGUCUAACUACGUGCCAGCAGCCGCAGUAAAUCGUAGGGGGCAAGCGUUAUCCGGAUUUACGGGGUGGAAAGGGAGCGUAGACGGCGGGGCAAGACGGGUGUGAAAGGCCGGGGCACAACCCCGGGACCGCUCUGGAAACUGCCCGGCUGGAGUGCGGGAGAGGUAAGCGGAAUUCCUAGUGUAGCGGUGAAAUGCGUAGAGAUUAGGAGGAACACCAGCGGCGAAGGCGGCUUACUGGACCGUGACUGACGUUGAGGCUCGAAAGCGUGGGGAGCAAACAGGAUUAGAUACCCGAGUAGUC
rnacentral:rRNA from 1 species